rnacentral:miRNA from 1 species
AUGAGAAUCACCUGGAGAGCUUGUUAAAAUAUAGAUUCUUGGGAUCUUGCAGUUCGGUGUAGGUGGGGCUGAAAUUUUGUAUUUUAAUAAGCUCCCAGGUGAAGCCGAU